GAGAGAGACAUAAUGGUUAUGAUACUGGCUUGAAACCAGUCCUAGGGGGUUCGAUUCCUUCCUUUCUUA
rnacentral:tRNA from 1 species